GGCGCGAGAUCCGGCGUGUGGCCCCUGCUGAGUUACGGUGCUGCUACACCGAGGCGUUAUCGGGCGCACACGCCGGGCUCUCGGCACCUA
rnacentral:ncRNA from 1 species